UGGCCGACCUGGUCGACGAGGUGGUGGUGGUCGACACCGGCUCGGCCGACCGCUCCCGGCAGGUGGCGGCCGGGUUCGGCGCCCGGGUGGUCGA
rnacentral:tRNA from 1 species